GGAUGUGAUGAAUGAUAUGAAUGAUAUGAAAAGUAUUCAUGUAUGAUGUGUGUACUUUUGGAUCAUCAGUGUGGAAAGUAGUGAAAUAUAAGAAAGUACUUGUGUGUAUGACGAGUGAUGGAGGUCUUCCUUCAGGGAGGACCUGAUGCCAAAGAGAACGAGACGAAGAGCCAGGGACCAGUGCUCACGGUGUGCAGAGGCCAUUAGGAAGGACUUAAGCUGGCAGUGGAAACGCUCUACAAUGCUGUUGCUCUGGGGGUGGUAGCUAGAAGUCCUGUAACGGCGUAUACCAAGGAGAGCCAUUACCUUGCUCCACACCUUAACUUCAAACUGGCUGCCGUGGUCAGAGAUGAGGCUGAGCAGAACACUGAAUCUUGAGACCUAAGUAUUUAUGAAGGCUUGAGUGACGGUGUCCAUGGUAAUAUCAGCCAGGGGUGCGGCCUCAGCCCAGCGUGUGAAACGAUCCACGCAGGUGAGGAUGUAUAAUGAUGGCCAGCUGAGGGAGGUAGAGGACCAACGAAGUCGAUGUGCAGGUGGUCAAAUCUUCCAGUGGGGUGUGGGAAGGUGCCAGGCAGCAAGUGAGUGUGGCGAAUGACCUUGGAAGCUUGACAAUGUGUGCAGGUGCGGUCCCAGAGAUGGAUGUCCUUGUUCAUACCUUCCCAGAUGAAGCGAGAAGUCACGAGGUGUUGUGAGACGUGGAUGCCAGGGUGGGAGAGGUCGUGGAGCUGACGGAAGGCCACAUAGCAGUGUCGCUGGGUAAGUCAACAAGGAAACUACAUAUGUAAGACUCCAGCCAAGCUGGGUAUAUUGGAAGCACAACUCAAGCUUUCAAGGUUCAUGUGGAUGAGCACAAGGGACAGUGAGCAGAACGGACCGUAGAACUCACAACCCCCCACAUUAAGCUGUGAGAGAUCACUCUGAGACCAUUGAUGAUGACAUACUGAGAUGUCGAAACGUCUGGAUAUAAAGAAGAAAGGAAGAAAAUGGUUAAGAAAAUAAAGGUGUUGUUUGUGUCAAUGCUGGUUAUUCUGUUCCUAUUGAAGCUGAGGUUCCCCAUGAACAGAGCUGUCUCUGAUGUAAAUACUUCUUGUC